AGACAACUACAACUAAAAUCGACAUGUUUAUUUAUGCUUUGAUCAUCUUUUUUCUAACAUUUCUUGUUGAAUCCUUUGCUUAUAAGAAAACUAAUAUCCCCUGCAAAUAUAUAGGGGAUUGUCCACCAUCAGGAAACCGUUAUGCUUGGUUAUGCAAAGAAAAUUUUUGUAUUAGACUUGAACGAGGAGAGUACGUGGACAUAGAAGGAUAAAUAAGGAAGGUUUUUAUUAGUUUGUAAUCUAUAUAUAUAAUAUGGGGUUUGCUAAUUUAGACUCACCUAAAAAUAUGAGAAGGUCUAAAUUAGCAAGGUGUACUUUUUUAUUUGGACAAAAAUACCCGUAACAAAAUAUAUUCCAAAAAAAAAUUUAUAAAAAAAUGUCAUUUAUUUUUCAACUAUUUUCAACUUUGUAUUUUAUUCUUAUUUUUUUUUAAUUAAAGGUAUCAUCCGCGUGUAAUUGCAUAGACUAAUCCCCUCGAGAUGACUGAGAAUUCUUAUUGUUUUAGUCUAACCAUUUUUUUAUGGGAGUUUUUCAA